UUUGGCCCUUGAGGCAAGAUCAAAUUAACAUUAGAGCUGGCCCGCCGCUGUAACACCGCAUUCACUGCUAAUACUCUUACUUGCCAACCCUCCCGAUUUUCCCGGAAGACUCCCAAAGUACAGUGCCCCUCCCAAAUUUCAUCCCGGACAACAAUAUUGGGGGUGGGCCUUAAAGGCAUUGCCUUUGGCGAUCUCUACAACCCGUCGCCACGUCCACUUUUCCUCCAUACGAACAGCGUGCCGUCCCUGUCACAUAAUAUAUGCGGCUUAUACACUCACUCAAGUGAAUGCAAGGCAUACUUGGUCAACAGCCAUACGGGCCACACUGAGGGUGGCCGUAUAAACAACUUUAACACUGUUACAAAUAUGCGCCACACUGUGAACCCACACCAAACAAGAAUGACAAACACAUUUCGGGAGAACAUCCGCACCGUAACACAACAUAAACACAACAGAACAAAUACCCAGAACCCCUUGCAGCACUAACUCUUCCAAACUCACCAAACCCCGUCCACCUCAAUCCCGCCACCGAAAAGAGGCAUUCAAUUUUAUUUAAAUUUUGAUAUGCCAUUGAUAUUUUUUGAUUAUUAUUAUUAUUUGAAACUCGAUUGUGCAUGUCAGUAUAAAGUUAUAUAAGCCUUGCUUGUUCAAUAUUCAAUGCAAAACUUGUUUGGGUCCCUAUUAAAAGGUUCAUUUGUUCAACCUUGGCCCGCGGCUUUGUUCGGUUUUAAAUUUUGGCCCACUCUGUAUUUGAGUUUGACACCCCUGUUGUCGGGGCUCGACGAUGGCAGAAAGUUUUUGAUGACAAUUGUGUUCGGUAUUAUCAGUAAAGCGCAGCUUAGAAACCCAUGGUGUCGGUCGUGUUGCAUAAAUGACACACAACGCAGAGGAAAAGACCACCUUGCAUCCACAAAGCCUUCCAAUGCGGGGAUACCAAAACUGGUUCUUCUGGUUGAAAGUAACUCCGUCUUGAAGAAUAGUUAUCUUCCCCAAUUCCUAGGCUUACCUGUUUCUCCAUGCGCUCAGCCUUGGUGGACACGCACUCGUGACCUUUGUGCUGGUUGCUGGUGCACAGCCAGCAGACGAACACCUUGCACUGGCGACAGAAGAACUCCUGUAGGUACUUGUGCUGUGUGCAGAUCUUCUCGGCCAAGUUGCCUGUCGGUGCUAUCAGCUCGUGGUCCUUCAGGGCCUUGUUGGUCUGGUGUGCCUUGAGGUGAUUCUCACAGUAUGAGCUCAUGCACACCAAGCAGGUCUUGACCGCUGCCCUCUGUUCUCCUUUACACAGGUCGCACUGCACGGCCGAGGAGGGCAGAGUCUUUUUGGAUUUUAUUGCUCCUCGCAUGCUUUGAUGCACUUCAGACCUUGGGGUUCCUUUGCGGAGUUGCUCCACAGCUUCAGCCAACAUGGUAUUCCUGGAGAGGGAGGGUCGAGGACAGAAGGUCUGGCGGCACUGGGGGCAACUGUAUAUCCCCUUGGGUUCAUCCUUGCUCCAGUAGUCCAUGAUGCAACCCAUGCAGUAGCUGUGCCCACAGGGGAUGGUGACCGGAUCAUUGGGGAGAUCCAGACACACGGGGCAGUUAAACUGCUCUUCUGUCCACAGCUUACCACUCAUGAUGCCUCGAGCAAAUAGAAGAAUACCAACUGAAGACAGAAGAUCCAGUGCCUUGAUGUGCUGGCAGUCACAAGGGGGAAAUGAAAAGUCACGUUGAGAGAGCAGGGCGGGGCUUUAGUCGCCUGGCAGGUUUAGCGGGUAAAAACGGGUGUCGAUGGAAAAAACUACUCAAGGAAGGAGUGUAUCCUUUUAUUGUGUCUGUGAAAUAGAAAUUCCUGUUUUAAGAUCCAUGAAGCUUUUGGAGUAUUUGUUAAAGGCCUACUGAAAUGAGAUAUUCCUAUUUAAACGGGGAUAGCAGGUCCAUUCUAUGUGUCAUACUUGAACAUUUCGCGAUAUUGCCAUAUUUUUGCUGAAAGGAUUUAGUAGAAAGUGAGCAACUACAUAAUAUGUAUCAUGUAGGACAAUGUCUAAAGAAGAGUUUGCUAAAAUAAUUCCUGUUAAACGAUUUGGAAAUUGAUUGAUCCCAUUAAUAAUUGGUGCUCCCGAUAUGGCAUUUCCACGUAUAAACAACAUAAGCUUCUGACUUUUACCACCAGCCUUCCUUCUUCUAUUAGCAUCGACGAUAAAGUUUGCAAUUUUUGGUCGCUAAUAAAAAAGCCUUGCCUGUACCGGAAGUAGCAGACGAUGACGUCACCAAUGUGGGGGCUCCUCACAUCCUCACAUUGUUUAUAAUGGGAGCCUCCAACAAAAAGAGCUAUUCGGACCGAGAAAACAACAGUUUCCCCAUUAAUUUGGGCGAGGAUGAAAGAUUCGUGGCUGAGGAUAUUGAUAGCGAAGGACUAGAAAAAAAAAAGGCGAUUGCAUUGUGAGCGUAUCAGAUGUUUUUAGACACAUUUACUAGGAUCAUUCUGGGAAAUCCCUUAUCUUUCUAUUGUGUUGCUAGUGUUUUAGUGAGAUUAUAUAGUACCUGAUAGUCGGAUGGGUGUGUCCACAGGUGUCUUGAGGCCAGUCUUUGAGGGAAUUAGUCACGGCAGCAGCAGCUUGACAGAAGUUCCUUUGAUCUCCGGUGGUUCUACUCGGUCUCCUCAGUCGCAUUCUGAUGACAACAUCAAAGCAACUAAGUGUUCAGUAUCUUGCUCAAUGGUGACUGACCUUCAGGUUGGGGAAUGACCGCUCCACUCGGGCCACGAGAUCAUGGCAACCAGGCACUUCAGAGGCUGUCGUGCACUGCAGGUGUUUGCUAGUUCCACUGGACUGAAUGACCUCAUGGAUACAAUAAUACUUUGUCUCAGCUGGUAGGAGGCCGCGGGGAAGACCCAGGACACGUUGGGAAGACUAUGUCUCCCGGCUGGCCUGGGAACGCCUCGGGAUCCCCCGGGAAGAGCUAGACGAAGUGGCUGGAGAGAGGGAAGUCUGGGCUUCCCUGCUUAGGCUGCUGCCCCCGCGACCCGACCUUGGAUAAGCGGAAGAUGAUGGAUGGAUGGAUGGAUGGAUGGAUAUCCCUUAUGUAAUCACAAUUGAAAUCUUUUUGUUGGGGUUUUUUAUGCACACUCUCAGGCAAAUCUACUUGUUGCCAAUCAUUUUUCAGUCUUAGAAAAAAUCACUAGCCUGCUGUCAGCCCUAGCCUGUUAUUCUAGUACAGUAUUACUAAAGACCAACAUGGGGCCACAAACAAAUCUUGUUUGGAGCCACAACAAGCCUCCUUUUAUCUGGUCACAUCCACUAUUGAUAAUGAAUUCUAAGGGCCUGAUUUAUGAAAGGUUUAAGUGCACUAAAACACGUGCAAACCUGAUACCACAUGCAGAGCUAAUCUACUAAACAUGUGCAAAGAAGAUUGCAUCUCUUAAGUGAGCUGAAUAAGGUGAGGCAUCCAUUUUGCCUCAGUCUUCAUCUAAACAGCCAUAAUAUUGGGAGGACAAAUUGCAUAUAGUGUUAUAUAGCACAUGCAAUGUGAUUCAUCAACUUUUAUCACUGUUUUGCGAGCAUUAUCUGGCAUUUUAUUUAGCACUUGUCUUAUGGGGCUGAAUAAAAUGUAUUCAAUUGA